rnacentral:rRNA from 1 species
UACGUAGGGUGCGAGCGUUGUCCGGAUUUAUUGGGCGUAAAGAGCUCGUAGGUGGUCUGUUGCGUCGGUUGUGAAAACCCGGGGCUUAACUCCGGGCCUGCAGUCGAUACGGGCAGACUAGAGUUCGGCAGGGGAGACUGGAAUUCCUGGUGUAGCGGUGAAAUGCGCAGAUAUCAGGAGGAACACCCAUGGCGAAGGCAGCAAACUGGCCGGCAUCUGACGCUGAGGCGCGAAAGCGUGGGUAGCAAACAGG